UGGGGAAUAUUGGACAAUGGGGGCAACCCUGAUCCAGCAAUGCCGCGUGUGUGAAGAAGGUCUUCGGAUUGUAAAGCACUUUCGACGGGGACGAUGAUGACGGUACCCGUAGAAGAAGCCCCGGCUAACUUCGUGCCAGCAGCCGCGGUAAUACGAAGGGGGCUAGCGUUGCUCGGAAUGACUGGGCGUAAAGGGCGUGUAGGCGGUUUACACAGUCAGAUGUGAAAUCCCCGGGCUUAACCUGGGAGCUGCAUUUGAUACGUGUAGACUAGAGUGUGAGAGAGGGUUGUGGAAUUCCCAGUGUAGAGGUGAAAUUCGUAGAUAUUGGGAAGAACACCGGUGGCGAAGGCGGCAACCUGGCUCAUGACUGACGCUGAGGCGCGAAAGCGUGGGGAGCAAACAGGAUUAGAUACCCUGGUAGUCCACGCUGUAAACGAUGUGUGCUAGAUGUUGGGUAACUUUGUUAUUCAGUGUCGCAGUUAACGCGUUAAGCACACCGCCUGGGGAGUACGGGCCGC
rnacentral:rRNA from 1 species